rnacentral:rRNA from 1 species
AUUGAACGCUGGCGGCAGGCCUAACACAUGCAAGUCGAGCGGAUGAAGGGAGCUUGCUCCUGGAUUCAGCGGCGGACGGGUGAGUAAUGCCUAGGAAUCUGCCUGGUAGUGGGGGAUAACGUCCGGAAACGGGCGCUAAUACCGCAUACGUCCUGAGGGAGAAAGUGGGGGAUCUUCGGACCUCACGCUAUCAGAUGAGCCUAGGUCGGAUUAGCUAGUUGGUGGGGUAAAGGCCUACCAAGGCGACGAUCCGUAACUGGUCUGAGAGGAUGAGCAGUCACACGGGAACUGAGACACCGACAAGACUCCUAAGAGACGCACCAGUGGGCAACAUUGGACAAUGGGCGAAAGCAUUAUCCAGCCAUGCCGAGUGUGUGAAGAAGGUCUUCCGAUCGUAAAGCCCUUUAAGUUGGGAGAAAGGGCAGUCAGUUAAUACCUUGCUGUUUUGACGUUAACAACAGAAUAAGCACCGGCUAACUUCGUG